rnacentral:rRNA from 1 species
AGCCCAGAGCCUGAAUCAGUGUGUGUGUUAGUGGAAGCGUCUGGAAAGGCGCGCGAUACAGGGUGACAGCCCCGUACACAAAAAUGCACAUAUUGUGAGCUCGAUGAGUAGGGCGGGACACGUGGUAUCCUGUCUGAAUAUGGGGGGACCAUCCUCCAAGGCUAAAUACUCCUGACUGACCGAUAGUGAACCAGUACCGUGAGGGAAAGGCGAAAAGAACCCCGGCGAGGGGAGUGAAAAAGAACCUGAAACCGUGUACGUACAAGCAGUGGGAGCCUCUUUUAUGGGGUGACUGCGUACCUUUUGUAUAAUGGGUCAGCGACUUAUAUUCUGUAGCAAGGUUAACCGAAUAGGGGAGCCGAAGGGAAACCGAGUCUUAACUGGGCGUUAAGUUGCAGGGUAUAGACCCGAAACCCGGUGAUCUAGCCAUGGGCAGGUUGAAGGUUGGGUAACACUAACUGGAGGACCGAACCGACUAAUGUUGAAAAAUUAGCGGAUGACUUGUGGCUGGGGGUGAAAGGCCAAUCAAACCGGGAGAUAGCUGGUUCUCCCCGAAAGCUAUUUAGGUAGCGCCUCGUGAAUUCAUCUCCGGGGGUAGAGCACUGUUUCGGCAAGGGGGUCAUCCCGACUUACCAACCCGAUGCAAACUGCGAAUACCGGAGAAUGUUAUCACGGGAGACACACGGCGGGUGCUAACGUCCGUCGUGAAGAGGGAAACAACCCAGACCGCCAGCUAAGGUCCCAAAGUCAUGGUUAAGUGGGAAACGAUGUGGGAAGGCCCAGACAGCCAGGAUGUUGGCUUAGAAGCAGCCAUCAUUUAAAGAAAGCGUAAUAGCUCACUGGUCGAGUCGGCCUGCGCGGAAGAUGUAACGGGGCUAAACCAUGCACCGAAGCUGCGGCAGCGACGCUUAUGCGUUGUUGGGUAGGGGAGCGUUCUGUAAGCCUGUGAAGGUGUGCUGUGAGGCAUGCUGGAGGUAUCAGAAGUGCGAAUGCUGACAUAAGUAACGAUAAAGCGGGUGAAAAGCCCGCUCGCCGGAAGACCAAGGGUUCCUGUCCAACGUUAAUCGGGGCAGGGUGAGUCGACCCCUAAGGCGAGGCCGAAAGGCGUAGUCGAUGGGAAACAGGUUAAUAUUCCUGUACUUGGUGUUACUGCGAAGGGGGGACGGAGAAGGCUAUGUUGGCCGGGCGACGGUUGUCCCGGUUUAAGCGUGUAGGCUGGUUUUCCAGGCAAAUCCGGAAAAUCAAGGCUGAGGCGUGAUGACGAGGCACUACGGUGCUGAAGCAACAAAUGCCCUGCUUCCAGGAAAAGCCUCUAAGCAUCAGGUAACAUCAAAUCGUACCCCAAACCGACACAGGUGGUCAGGUAGAGAAUACCAAGGCGCUUGAGAGAACUCGGGUGAAGGAACUAGGCAAAAUGGUGCCGUAACUUCGGGAGAAGGCACGCUGAUAUGUAGGUGAAGUCCCUCGCGGAUGGAGCUGAAAUCAGUCGAAGAUACCAGCUGGCUGCAACUGUUUAUUAAAAACACAGCACUGUGCAAACACGAAAGUGGACGUAUACGGUGUGACGCCUGCCCGGUGCCGGAAGGUUAAUUGAUGGGGUUAGCGGUAACGCGAAGCUCUUGAUCGAAGCCCCGGUAAACGGCGGCCGUAACAAUAACGGUCCUAAGGUAGCGAAAUUCCUUGUCGGGUAAGUUCCGACCUGCACGAAUGGAGUAACGACUUCCCUACUGUCUCCACCAUGAACUCGGUGAAAUUGCAUUACGAGUAAAGAUGCUCGUUACGCGCAGCAGGACGGAAAGACCCCGAGACCUUUACUAUAGUUUGGUAUUGGUGUUCGGUGCGGCUUGUGUAGGAUAGGUGGGAGACUGUGAAGCGGACACGCCAGUGUUCGUGGAGUCGUUGUUGAAAUACCACUCUGGUCGCUCUGGAUAUCUAACUUCGGCCCGUGAUCCGGGUCAGGGACAGUGCCUGAUGGGUAGUUUAACUGGGGCGGUUGCCUCCUAAAGAGUAACGGAGGCGCCCAAAGGUUCCCUCAGCCUGGUUGGCAAUCAGGUGUUGAGUGCAAGUGCACAAGGGAGCUUGACUGUGAGAGUGACGGCUCGAGCAGGGACGAAAGUCGGGACUAGUGAUCCGGCGGUACAUUGUGGAAUGGCCGUCGCUCAACGGAUAAAAGGUACCUCGGGGAUAACAGGCUGAUCUUGCCCAAGAGUCCAUAUCGACGGCAUGGUUUGGCACCUCGAUGUCGGCUCGUCGCAUCCUGGGGCUGGAGUCGGUCCCAAGGGUUGGGCUGUUCGCCCAUUAAAGCGGCACGCGA